rnacentral:lncRNA from 1 species
AUUACUCCAUUCUCUUAGCUUUUUUUUUCUCUUUUUAGUAAGAUGGAACACUCGUAUAUUGCGAGUAUGAACAAAGCCAAAAAGAUCAAAAAAAAAAGAAUGACCCAGAAUGCCUACGGCAUCUCAGUCAUCUUGAUCCACAUAACUCCUCCGAGAUCCUCAGCUACAAAGGAAGCCACCCAAUCAACUGCACUGUUGACCUCAUGAA